GUUGUCGGAUUCACUUCAAUCCAUGUGUGUUGGUGUGGAUUGAGGUGGAAUUUAGUUUAAAUUUCACUCCAAUCCAUCUCAACACAUGUGGAUUGAUCUGAAUCCGACU
rfam:Sorghum bicolor cultivar BTx623 chromosome 5, whole genome shotgun sequence.